rnacentral:rRNA from 1 species
AACGAACGCUGGCGGCAUGCCUAACACAUGCAAGUCGAACGAGACCUUCGGGUCUAGUUGCGCAUGGGUGCGUCACGCGUGGGAACCUGCCGUUAGGUUCCGAAUAAUUCCCCUUAAUGGGUGCUAAUACCGGGUAAUUUCCUCGGAUCAAAGAUUGAACCCCCUUGGGUGAGCGCGCGAUGGUUUGGCCGGUGGGUAGGGGAAAAGCCUACCAAGGCGACGCUCCAUAGCUGGUCUGAGAGAAUGAUCAGCCACACUGGGACUAGGACACGGCACGGAAUCCUACGGGAGGGAGCAGAGGGGAAUACUGGACAAUGGGCGAGAGCCUGAUCCAGCAAUGCCGCGUGAGUGAUUAAGUCCUUAGGGUAGUGAAGCUCUUUUACCCGGCAUGAUAAUGACGGUACCGGGAGAAUAAGCACCGGCUAACUCCGUG